rnacentral:rRNA from 1 species
CUAGCCGUAAACGAUGGAUACUAGGCGUUGUGAGUAUCGACCCUCACAGUGUCGUAGCUAACGCGUUAAGUAUCCCGCCUGGGGAGUACGCGCGCAAGCGUGAAACUCAAAGGAAUUGACGGGGGCCCGCACAAGCGGUGGAGUACGUGGUUUAAUUCGAUGCAACGCGAAGAACCUUACCAGGACUUGACAUGUCGCGAAUCUCAGGGAAACUUGAGAGUGCCUUCGGGAGCGCGAACACAGGUGGUGC